rnacentral:rRNA from 1 species
GUGGAUUAGUGGCGAACGGGUGAGUAACACGUGGGCAAUCUGCCCUUCACUCUGGGACAAGCCCUGGAAACGGGGUCUAAUACCGGAUAACACCGGCUUCCGCAUGGGAGCUGGUUAAAAGCUCCGGCGGUGAAGGAUGAGCCCGCGGCCUAUCAGCUUGUUGGUGGGGUAAUGGCCUACCAAGGCGACGACGGGUAGCCGGCCUGAGAGGGCGACCGGCCACACUGGGACUGAGACACGGCCCAGACUCCUACGGGAGGCAGCAGUGGGGAAUAUUGCACAAUGGGCGAAAGCCUGAUGCAGCGACGCCGCGUGAGGGAUGACGGCCUUCGGGUUGUAAACCUCUUUCAGCAGGGAAGAAGCGAAAGUGACGGUACCUGCAGAAGAAGCGCCGGCUAACUACGUGCCAGCAGCCGCGGUAAUACGUAGGGCGCAAGCGUUGUCCGGAAUUAUUGGGCGUAAAGAGCUCGUAGGCGGCUUGUCACGUCGGGUGUGAAAGCCCGGGGCUUAACCCCGGGUCUGCAUCCGAUACGGGCAGGCUAGAGUGUGGUAGGGGAGAUCGGAAUUCCUGGUGUAGCGGUGAAAUGCGCAGAUAUCAGGAGGAACACCGGUGGCGAAGGCGGAUCUCUGGGCCAUUACUGACGCUGAGGAGCGAAAGCGUG